UACAGGGGGGGCAAGCGUUGUUCGGAAUUAUUGGGCGUAAAGGGUUCGUAGGCGGUCGACUCAGUCAGACGUGAAAUCCCUCGGCUUAACCGGGGAACUGCGUCUGAUACUGGUUGGCUUGAGUGCAGGAGAGGAAUGCGGAAUUCCAGGUGUAGCGGUGAAAUGCGUAGAUAUCUGGAGGAACACCGGUGGCGAAGGCGGCAUUCUGGACUGCAACUGACGCUGAGGAACGAAAGCCAGGGGAGCAAACGGG
rnacentral:rRNA from 1 species